AUCUGGCUGACGAGUCACAAAUGAGACGAAACGCGAGUUCUGGAU
rnacentral:hammerhead_ribozyme from 1 species